GCAGGAUUACGAUGGCUCAGCUUCUUGGAAUCACUUUAACCCAACACUGUGGGAAGGAAACAAAGUUGAAGUAUUAUUAUUUCAAAACAAUAUUUGUAAAUAUUAGAACACCCAUCCUUAGGGGUUACCUGGGCUUGAGUUGCACAGCAGGUAUGUGAUGGGGAACCCCUGAUAUGACAAAGAUAUAGACAUGAGGGAGGAAAGACUGCAAACAGGAAAGGCAAUUAGGAGAUGGGCGUGGUCUUUCAGGAAGGAGAUGCCCAGUAGCUGAAACAGGAUUUAAGUGUGAAGAGUUUGAGGAAUUUGAGCACAUUUGAGGAACUCGUGGAUGUAAGAUCAUUAGCACUCACUGAAUGAUUCAACAGGGACGUUAAGAGAAAGAGAGGAGCCAGGGUUUGGGUUUGGGUUUGGGAGACUGGAUGUGUACCCUACAUACGUGGAACUCCAGGUGAGGAUGCUCAGAAUUCAUGCUGAUGGUCUUCUCUGAUUCUCCUUGUGACAUACUUUAAGCAUUUGCAAAGUGGUCAAAGUUAAUGAGACAUUUUACUUUAUCUCCUUCACAACUUUCAGUGGCCAGGUCUAGAGUUCAUACAUGACCAAGUCUGGGCUCCUUCACUGUUUUCCUUGAUGCUUGCCAACCACUACAAUGGAGCAGUAACUACAUGGCCACUUUCUUAGAGAAGCAUCAACCCACCAGCUCUGUGUAGUCCCUCAAUUAUCUAACCUUUUCAAUGACAGGAUGGCUGCUGGUAAACAAAUAACCUAGAAAAAAAUCCAUUAUAUUACCCACCAAUCCCUUACCUCCUGAGUCCCUAUUUCUGAACUUUAGUUCACCUCCAACAGCUUUUUCAUCAUUUCCAAUCUAGCUCCUGGCCUCCUGAUUCUCAUACUAGAGAUACUGAUCUCAGGUGGGGAAUAAGCAUCAGAAACAGAUAAACUCAUAGGACACAAAUCUUAUGUCCCUAUUCUCCUGUUUUCAUGCAAAUGUCCCAGUAAUUAAAUCAGGAAAAGAAAAUGUAGCAAAAACAUAUCAGCCAAAUGGUUUCAAAAUUUCAAAAGAAGCUGUAAAUAUGGUCCUUUUUAGAAGAUCAGGUUCUAACUAGAGUAUGAGAAAGGGUAACAGUUGUUCUGAUGAAGCAGUUUUUAAAUUCUUGUCAGUGAUUUGAAGAGAGAUAACUGAUGUAUGUUGAAGAAGCUGGCAAGAUUUUUAAAUAGUUCGGACGCUACAGGGAGGUUUUUUUUUUUCUUUUUUUUUUCUCUUAAAGCAAUGUACUCAGAAGUGUUGGCAAGAUUUUAUUUGAACGUAGCAGUGCUUAUGUGAGGAAGUUAUUUUGAAUUACCCUAGUAUAAAUAUGUAUGACUUUAUUUGUAUUGAAAAUUUCCUUUGCAAGUGAGUGACUGAGGGACUGUUACAUCUCUAUUGCUUGGUAAAUGAUUCAGGUUUUUCAUUUUGGAAGUAAAAUAUUGUACUCAGAAUUCAAAAAUAGUAUCAAAAUCCUGUUUGUGACCACAUGAUUUUUGCACUUGCAUUAAUACCUUUUACCUCUUAUCUGCCGUGUAGAACAAACGACAUCUGUUAUUUUAAAGUCUGGCUUUUUUAUAUGGCAUUCAUACAUGCAUGCAUUCAUUCAUCCAACAGACAUUAUUCAGCGCCUCUCAUGCACCAAGCUCUAUGCUAGGCAGUGGGGAGACAGUAAAAGUAUUAAACUGUUCUUCUUCAUAAUGUAUUUCAGGUCAACAUUCUGUUUCUUCCAGGUAGUUUUCUUCAGCAGAGUCGAAAUCUCAAAUUCUAGGGUCAUAUCCUAUUAUUUAAAAGCUAAGCCUGCUAAAUGUUAUGGACAAGGCUAUCUUUAAAAGAUCAUUUUUCCUCUGAAUAGAAAGCAUCAAAAGAAAGAUGAGAAGAGGUGAGGGUCCUGAGUGAGAAACAGGACUUGAAGAGAAAGGGGAAAGGAGAAAGCAUUGUAAACAGCACUUAAUAUUUUUUUGCCUCAGUAUCUUUGGGCAACUGGUUAUUGGUCUUCGUAAAAGAAAAAAAAUCUGCUGGCAGGAAAAACAUUUAGCCCAUUGACUGAUGGAGCCUGAAGGAGAAACAAACUCAUCUUCUCUCUUUUCUUUAUUUACCUAUUGUGUGAUCUUAGAGGGUGAAGGGAUCCUUUAUCUUAAAUUACAACUAUAAGAGUUCCCACUGUGUUGCAACAGGAUCAGCAGCAUCUAUGAAGUACCAGCACACAGGUUCAAUCCCCAGCCCAACAUAGUGGGUUAAAGAGUCUGGCGUUGAGGCCGAACUGUGGCUUGGAUCUGACUCCUGGCCCAGGAACUCCAUAUGCCAUGGAAGGCCAAAAAAGAAAAAAAAAAAGAGGAAAAAAAAUUACAACUGCACGAUUGCCUUCUUAAGUAAACCAUACUUUUACUAAUCCACUUCAUUUUUUUCUUUAUGAUUUAUUUCCUUCCUCAGAGAAAACCUCUUAUUAAAUUUUAAUACAUUUACUCAAAAAUAAACCAUGAAAAGUCUCAUCAGAGCCAUUUAAAGAGAAAGACAAAUGUAUACACACAAUUCUGCAUUUGCCUCUUCAUUUUUUUUUCAGAACAUAUAAAACUGACAAUGAAGAAAGGGAAUAAAAGUUUGUGUUAAAUAGUGUUAUUUGGUACAAAACUUGAUAUAAAGGAGAUUGUGUGGGUCUGAGUGUUCAUGGUCCCUGCCACACCCUCAUCUAUCCUCAUUCUUAUCUCAAGCCUAUGUAAGUAUGAAAUAGGAGAUCAGUUUACAUUCCUUUAAAGCUUCUUAAUGACAGAUUCCACAAACAACAACAAAUAUUUCCUAUGUAAUAGGCACUCUUCCAGGGGAUUGGGAAAGAUUCUUUAGUGAUAGGUCACCUUCCUUUCUCAAACAAAUUACUCUUUAGAGAUCCUAAAUUAAGCAAUGGUUAAAAAAUAUCUCCAAAGGAUGGUACUUUGCCUUCAUAUCACGAAAAGCAUGACUUUGCCCUAAUUCAAAGUCCAGUGUGAUUUCAAAUGACACAAAAAUCACAAGCAUAUUUCACCUAGUGAACUACACAAGAAUCCUCAAAUAGAAGCAAAACUUCAGUACAGGUCAUCUCUACAGAAUAACUAUAGCAAAUUAUUGUAAAUAAUUUUUCAACAUCCCAUAUAAACGCUAAAUGAUGGUAGGUGAUGAUACAGUUUAAGAUCAUGAUGAUCUCUAAACUGAAAUUCCAAAUACUUAGUAGAUAAACUGAGCUUUAGAAAAACAGAGUUUCAAUUUUUUGUUCUUGUUUUAAAAGCCACAUAUUUUCUGUGAACUUUGAGUGUUGCUCUGCCCCUCUUGUCUAGAAGGGUGCUAGCCAUGUGCCAAGAACAACAGGUAAGCCAGCUUCCCUCAACCCAGAAAAAUUACCCCUUUGCCACAGGAACCAUACUUACAGUUCUACAAUGGCCAAGGAAAAACCUAAUAGCAAACGGAUUUUUUUUUUUUUUUUUUUUUUGCAUGUGUAGCAAAGUUAGUUCCAGAGAGAAAAGAGAAGCUUGGUUUGCACUGUAGCAGAACCAUUGGAACAAUAUGCUCCCUGUGUCCACAGCCCAGUUCUCCCCUGACACCCUCCUUUCUAGGGCAUAGGGUAGAAAAGUCACAUACACAGUAGAUCAUGCCAGCGCCUGCUGACACAACCCUACUCCCAAACUUGCAGUCAGCAGAGUGAAGCAAUGUCUAUAUUAUAUACGUAUUCUUACCUUUUUUUUAAGCAGAUGUUUCAGCACUCAACAGGGAGGUGGGAAGAAGACACUGCAGGCAAAUUCUCUUAGUGCUCUUUCAUCCUCUCUACUCCCUCCCCAGUUCUUUCAAAUUUCUGAAGGUUUGGUUGAGAGAAGGUAUAGAGCUUUGAACAGUAUUAAGAGCCUCUUCUUUUUACCUUGGAUGAGUAUCUUUGACACUUAUUGGCUGCACUCAAUGGGCUGUAAGAGUGCUUCCUCUUAUGUGGUAUAGGGAGAAUUAUGUGGAAAAAUAUUUUUUCCCUGAAAUUUUAAACGGAAGUGUGAAAUACAUAAUCAAAUUGUAAAAUACAUUUAUUCAUCUCAGAGGUUAGAAUCACAAUGCUUGUAAUCACGAGCAUCCAAACUUUUCUGCUACAUAUUGAGAAAUUUCAUAUUACUUUCCAAAACCUUUUUAUCAGUAAGCAUUAAUUCCUAUAUAAUGCAAGAACUAGUUAAACAAUUCCUAAUAAAAUUAGUUGUCAUUGGUGUGUCUCUGGUUACAGUUGUAGUGUAGGUUUGAUCCCUGGCCCUGGAACUUCUGCCUGCUGUGAGUGUGGCCAAAAGAUUGUAAGUAAAUAAAUAAAGUAAUUCACAUAGUUAAAGAAAUAACAAUAAAAUAACUAAAAAUAAUGAAAUAAGUAUCACCUAAAAUACAUGCCUCAUUCACUCUGGUUUUCUAUAAUUUAACUUCAUAUAUUUUUCAUGAUAAUGCAGAGAAGGAAUUCCUAUUUAUUGCUAUGCCUAUCCUGUACCAGACAUUUUACAAAUAUUGGCAUAUUUUUUCACAACCAGCUUAAAUUUAUGUCUCCUUUUGCUCAUUUUAAAAAUGAGAUUCACAGGGGCUUCAUAUCCUGUACUUGAUACUCAAUUAGCACUCACAAAGGAAGGAGUCAAAUCAUUCAUUUAAUUUCAAAGCCUAUAUCCUUGCCACUAAAAUAUGCUGUAAUUAAAGAGAAUAUAUCUGGUGUCAAACACAUUGAUGACCAGUUCCCAGUCAAUAAGCAAUAAAAGAAAUUUUAUAAGAAAUACAAUCAAUUUCCAGAUAUUCCUGAUCUCUUCUUCAUCACUCACUUGUCCUCUCUUGGGCCCAGCACUGGGGCUCGGGCAAGCUAGCAGAACCUGCCCAUAGCGCUUCCUCAAGUCAAAGGGCCUGGUGAGAUGACUGAACAAGGAAAGACACUUUAUCUGGGAAGCCAGAGGCCCAAAGCCAGAGAAACCAUUCUACCUGAGCCAAUACUGUCACUGGAAAAAUGAGCCUAAGUGUUAGGUCCAAAAGGCAAAAUAAGCUACACAUUGAAAAAUGAGUACUAACCGAGUCAUCCAGGAGGAAUGGAAGUGGGUCACAAUGCAGUGUGCAGAGUGGGUGAGUACAAGUGGUUCGGAAGGACAUCUGUGAAGGGUGAGAAGAUGCUGGGUGUGACAUGUACAUGGUGUUGGCCGUGAGGGUGGAUCUGGAAGAUUCAAAGGCCAGAGAAGAACUAGACACUUGAAUUCUAGGCAAAGUCCUUGGUUCUCUCUAGGUCACAUCUACAACUGCUGGGCCUAGAAAAGCAGGAGUUUAUAUUCUUAGCUAUUAGCAUUUCAUAGUUGUGAUUAUCAUGAAGAGGAAAAUUUUUGAGAGUAAGAUUUUAUAUGUAAGUACCUGAUAAUAACCGCAAAAAUAAAAAUAAAAAUCAUUCUUAGGAUGCUGCAAAAUUAGAACUAAUACACAACAUUUAUAAUUUGAUGUUUUAAUAGAAUAAAGACUUUUAAAGAAGACUGCAAAACAGCAGUAGUUAUUUCCAGGUCACUAAACAAUCUGUAGGUGCAGUUUCUGGUCCCAUUUCCCUUUACAAAGGAAAAAGAGAAACUAGGGGCUCACUCUGAGCCCCUAGGCUGGUGUCCAAAUAGUCCUUUUGGUAGUUUUGACCUGAAAGAAGCUUGUAAUGGAUCCUUUGAGAAAGGAAACAAUUAGGGGACCCUUGAAGUGUUUUGAGGAGUCUUAAGGAAAACAAAAACAAGAAGACAUCAGUAUCGGCGUUAAAUAUCGCAAUACUUUUUUCCCCUUUAGCAUUUCCCUUGAUUCGUCAGCUUUUGCAUCAAAAAGAAAAUCUGGCCUUGUAGGUAUUUAAGAGACCAGGGGAUUUCAUUUUCCAUUUAGUAAAGUGAUUUUCUCCCCCACUAUAGGUACUUAGAAUUAGAGCAAACCCUAGAAUAAUUACGAUUCCAAAAGGGAAUGCUCAGUUCAUUGUGAAUGGCCUUACAACAAAAAGUGCUCUGACAGCCAAAUUCCUGGUCUCCAAAUUUGUAAGUUUGCCCUUUUUUUUCCUCACAAGUCUUACUCAAGACUGUUUCUGAGCUUCUGCACAUUUAACCCUUACACUCAAUGACAAAUGUGUUACUAAAAAAACACAAGAAACUUCAAGUUCAUACAUUUAGACUAAAGACAACUUAUAUUUAUAACCAAAUUAUGACCAUACUGAAUACAAGUUAACUGCUUAAACUAAUAGAAUAAAGAAAUACUGUAUUUAUUCUAAUGUCUGUGGCUAUGCAUCCUUUGAAGCGGUCUAAAGAACCAUAAACCAGCCAAAAAUCCUAUGAUGCUUUCCUUUUAUUUCUUCACUUUGAUAACAGUACUCACUUCUGAAUAGAAAAAUUAUGAUGAUGCUAAAAGAAUGUUUUAACUAGUCGAAAUUAAUUUAUACUGUCUUCAAUUGAUCUGCAUGUUCCAUGUUAUUUUUUCAACCUUUCAUUAUGACAGUAAAGCUACACUAUAGUGAAGUUUCAGGUGCUACUUUAAUUCUCAAUAAAAUGCAAAGGAAUGGAUACAAUGUAGAUAUGGAAACAAAUUUAAAUCGCUAAUAAUCACACGGGUAGUAAUCUGCAAGGCUAGUAUUCAAAAUAGAUUCUUUGGACUUCAACCCACACAGGGAUAUAAAAAUAUCAGGGAUAUGUUUCUCUGAUCAUUUUUAAAUAACUGUAAAUCAGCCCAUAUAUUAAUAAAUAAAAAUUUUAAAUUAUCUUAAAUUAAUGUAUGAAUUAUUUGUCAAUUGCUUCAAUUUUCACUUUUUGACUUUUCUAAAUAGACAUAAGCAAAAAGUUCAAUGACCGAAUUCCAGUAAAUAAACAUGGUGCAUAAUUAAUGCACAUCUCUGCAUUCAGGGAGGAAAGUGACUUGAUCUUACAUGGGGUAUUGUUUUUCCUAAUUAAUUGUAGUUCUGUCACGUGUUUGUAUAUGAUUGCUACAUAAAUGAUUUACAAAUUGUUAAGAAGUUUUAUGGAUAUAUAGGAAGAAUAGUACAACUCAAUAAAUAAACUUUUACAAGUCUCCAAGAAAUUUUACAUUAAAAUGUUACUUUGUUUCUUCGUCCUAAGAGAAUGAAUUAAAAAAAAAUAGUUAAAAUCAAGCAUUAGAUAUGCAAAUAUAUGUUCAGAUCAGAGAUACCAAAAUUAUUCAAAUGAUUAAUUAUUCAUCAUAAAAUGUCAAUUAAUAAUUAUGAAGCAUAAAAGGCAUCUUUCUAAUGCAUCUUUAUUUUUCUUGGCCUAAAAAGGACUUAAUAUACAUGUUCAAUUGACUUCUAACAAGUUUUAAAAAUCCGACAAAAUAAACAAAUUGCAAACAAGUGCAAACUCUGAAUCUUAACAGGAGAACAACAAAUAUGCUCAAAAUGAAUGGAAGACAAAAAAAAGAAAGAAAGAAAAAAGAAAAGAAAACAAAAGCCAUAGCCACAUUCAUGACGCGUGCAGGCCCAUAUUCACUCACCUGCUAGGUAACAGGGCAACCUGGCCAAGAAAACAACCCAACAAUUCAAGUUGUGCAUUUGCUUAGCAGGUACAAAAUACAGGAUAUGAUAUUUCUCUCUGAAUUGAUCAGUCUUCUUGAGGGUCAGGGGUGCUCUGGGAAUUUUUUACACUUUCUAAACUGUCAUUAAAAGAAAAAGCACAGUUUAAGUUUCUUUAAAUUACCUAUUGUAAUUUCUAAAGUCUGUUAAGUACUGCUCAAGUAUCACCAUAAAUGAGAAAUUUUUUUCACGUUACUUUAAUUCUAAAGUAUUUUCCUGUACCAAGUAUUAUUCACUUUUUUUUCCAGGAAGAUUAUUUCUAAAAGAAAAAAAGAAGUCAAUUUGAACCAAUAAAACUCAGAAAAAGGAGCCAUUAUAAUUACUGAGAUAUAGAUUUAUAUUUAUUUAAUUACUACUAUUAUUAUUAUUUUACUUUUCAAUGACACCUGGGGAACUUGUUCUCUGAUGACCCAGGGAGUUAUUUUGGUCAGGGUGUCCCUGACCUCCUGCUGGUAGAUUAAUUACAUAUGAAACACUGUGUUUUCAAAACGAAAUGAUAAAUCUGGACACAUAAAGGAGGCAGAAAAGAAUCAGCGAGAGAGAAGAGAUGUUAAGAAACAAAACAAGGGAUUGCAAAAGGGAGAUAGAAAGGAGAAUGUAGGAAAUGAAAUUGAGAAAGAAUUUCAGGAAAAUAAGGAUAAAGGGCAGGGAUGAAAGGAGCGCGAGAGAGAGGAAGGGAGGAUUUGGGGUUUUCAAUUCCCUGGAGAGGGUGCUGGCGUCCGCGCCCUCAACGCCAUAGCCUUCCAAGUUAAGGCGAAAGCCACCUCUUCGGGCCUGCGUCGCAUCCAACUUACUCCAAGUUUUCUGGUGACUCCUACAGGGCCCCUUUCCGUCCCCCUACCCCCACCCCUUAUUGAGAUUGACAGUCGCGUGGAGGAGGCUUUUCCAGGCACAGCCUUUCUCAUGGUAAUCAGCCCCCAGCAUCACCUCCCGGCUGCGGCCGCUCCGGCUCGGUGCGCGGCUCGCGGACCCCGGGGACCGGAAACAAGGCGGCGGGCGGGUAGCCGGCGAGCGAGCCAGGCUCAACUCCGAAAGGAUUGGAUUGUGAGUUUGCACGUGAGAAAACCGUUUGGCUUGGCUUGGACCCCUGCCUCCCCGCACCCCCUCCACACACCCCCAAUCCAGGGGUCCCUCUUAUCACCCUUUGCUUGCAACUCUAAGAGAAGUUGCCCACCUCCUGCAUAACAACACAGGGUCGAAAUAAUUCCUCUAGAUGAAAGAUCAAUUCCGUUUCAAAAAGAGAAUAGGUUCUUUUUUAAAAUUUUUUCCACAUGGUACAAAAUAAACAGAAAUUGCUUUUUUAAAGAAAUCAUUAGCUGUGGCCAAAUUCGAAUUCCUUCUAUAGCUUGUGUGUUCAAGGGCAGAAACACUGUAUCUCUUCGGGCAUCUGGGCGGGCAAACCGAGCUGGGGGCAGGGGAGAAAGGGGGAGCGGCUGUGAAAGUUAAGGAAAUUGACAGACUGAGAGGUGAAUGGGGGGACAGGCACCAGGUCCUGGCUGGAGGGAAUUGGAAAACAAAAGUGCAUCCUCACACUGCUUGGGUGGAGGAACUCCUGAGGGAGGCAGUUUGUUUCACUCAAAGAGACCCUAUAGAAUUAUUUUUCUCCCUUCUAUGUCGAUUGCAAUAUUAUUUCACAUUUGCAUAUAUCUGUUGUUUUAAUCCCCUUGGUCUGCGCUAAUCUCGAAAUGGACUAUUAAUGGGGAAGGAAGACCGGGAAGGAGCGAUUCAUUUGAAGGACUUGCUUUGCUGUGUGAGGAUCCGAAAGCUAGCAGCUCCUAGUCCUCUCUCGACUUUUCCCUGCGUCCUGCGCUCCUGCAUCCCGCUGGUCCCACGAUCCCCAUUGUCCCUGACCUGGCCUUCGGACUAAAAGAGUGUUCGGAACAAAUUUAUAUUUCGGCUUCGCCAGAUCCCACCGUCUCUGCUUUGAUGGGAACUCUCGGUCAAUCGGGAAGGGUGUGUGCCAGGGGCGUGCCAGGCAGGGGCGGAGGGCAACCCACCGGCGCUCUCACCCUCACAGGGACAGCUCACAUGCCACCAUCUAAAUAUCCACAUUAAUGGAAACUUGAAAGAUUGCUUUUUUACCCUAAAUCAAAUACUUGCACAUCGGGACUCCCAAUGCCUUGUUGAGGCUGCCUCCUGCCACUUGAACAAUUACUGAGCCCAGAGUAAUCAGAUGAUUAGGUGUUUUUAAUGGAAAUACUUGUCUGUCUCUUUUUUUUUUUUUUAAGUCAGAUCCUAAGUAACCUCACAUUAAUAUACAUAAUAAAGACAAGUAAUUUGUUAGCCUUUCAAUAGGAUCCUUUGACCUGAGGUUUUUGUCAGUGAGUGUGUGUCUGGGCUGGAAGCUCCAGUGGCUACCUGGGUUCCUGAGGUAGAGUAUUGUCUGGAAUCACUCCAUGCAAGGGACAGCUUUUUCCUAGAAAUGGAAGAGGAAAGGCUGAAAAGCAAACUUCUAGAGAAAGCUGGAAUUGACUUUUUUUUAAAUAAAAAAGUGGGAAGA